ACGUUGGGCCCACCCAGGCCAAAAUGUAACAAGCGAAGAGGCAUCUGGAAGCCACAGUCAGGAAUUGCAGUCCUACCUACCUUUACUCUUUAUUGUGUCUAGGCGUUGCGGCCGCUAGCCCCGAAGAGCCCGAGGCCUUCUGCCAACGGGCCGCCAGUCCCCGCCUCCCGAGAGGGGUGGGAACACCGUGAGGCUGGACCCUGCCUCGGCCUUUCUCCCGUCCCAGCUCCGGCCAUGCCUCGUUCGCGGACUACACUCCGGCCGCGUCUCCCUGCUCCAGGCCAUACCAUGACAGAGCAAUUCCUGUGGACCAAAGGCGGACUCGGUUCACUCACCUACUUGGUAGAGCCGGCCCUCGGGUGAAAAAAUGGUAAUGUGACGGUCAAACCCAGCGCUGGAACCACGGGACAUGUUGGCGAACCCACUACUUCAAGCACUGUCUCUGAGCCCCGUAGCUCCCACACCAGGCGUACAAAUCCCCCCGGAAGUUUCAACGACUGCUUCCGGGGCACCGGCGAGCUGCAUCCGCUCCUGCGCGCCGAACUCCGGGCUCCAGCGUCAGGCGGGCGCGGAGAGCUCUCCGAGGCCCCGCCCCUCGUUGGGGGUGGGGAGGGCCGGGAGGCCUUCGGUGUGCGCUUGCGCCGGCCCCUGGGCUGAGCGCUGUGCAGAAGCCCCGUGGAACUGGCGUUGAGGCAGUUUAGAGCUUUCAUCUGGCGAGUGAAUUGCCCGAGGCGAGGACUAAGACCCUUUCUGGGCGCCCAGACUAGUGAUCGGCCUACCGGUGGGACUUAAAUGGAUGGCGUAUUUAAGUCUGUCGUUAGUUUUGGGACGUGUAAAUCCAGCUUGGGUCUAGAUUGCUGGCGUCGUUCCUAAUCUGCUCUGUACUCACCCACUUUUCCUUCCUACCACAGGGGAAAAGGAGUUGCAGCGACUGCGGCAGUAACCGCUCAUUUUAGGCAGACUCAAGCUUCAGCUUUCCCAGGCACCAGCACUCUGGGUCAGCCAUACUGCAGGAGGAUCUUCCAAGUCCUUCUACUAAGGCAUCAUUCUUGGGGUUCUGGGGUCAGAGGACACCCAAGGAACUCAGAGCACAGGUCAGAACUGCUGGUUACAUUCUACCUAGGAGUGAGGAGACCAAAGAAUUAGAACCUCAGCCUGGGAAAAGAACUUGAAAGUCCAAAAUGGGAAAAAGACAAAUACUGGAUGAUUGACAAAAAGAAACAAAUGGACACUGUGACAAGUGAUGAAUAAAAUAAUGUAUGGCUUUUAUCAUCAGCGGCAUUUUAACAGCCUUCAAAGUAUGAAGUAGUUGCACUGGGGCUAUGAUACUUAUUCUUGGCUGAUAGUUGUCUAUUGAUGAAUCUGUAAAGGGAAUUCACCAACAGCAUUUCCUCACCCCUCUCCCAUCUGAUGACUUCAAGACUUCAGAGAUAUGAAAAACACUCCUUAUUCACCAGAAAGAUUGGAGAACCAAACAAAAGUAACACAACCAUGUGACAUGAGUAUCACCUUUGACAAAUGUUAAAGUGGAAGAAAAAAAUUUAAAAGAAGAAAGGGUUAUUUUGGUCCAUUUGAAGAGGAAGUGCUGUUUCCAUUUAUCUUCUAAGCUUAAACCCAGGAAGAUUGCCUGUUAUCUCUUUCCUAAACCGAUGAGAAAAUUUUCAAGAGGUUUUCCUGCCAUUCAUAUCAUAGGAUGUGUAGAUCUUUUCUGGAGAGGGAGAUCUACGAUAACUGGAAAACUUCAAUUUAGAUUAAUUCUGUAACUUUAUAUACACAAGCAAUUUCUAGGCAUUUAUGAGUUACACAAAACAGAGUGAAAAAAUGCUCUACUGACUAAAUAAUGUUGCAUUUGCAAGCUCUCCCCCGCCCCACAUUAAAGAAAUGAUGUUUGCCAUAAUUACUUAACAAAUACCAAAGGCAAUUCUGAUACUCCAACCCACCUGAGUAUCUCUUUAAAUCUUAAGAGUGCUUACUCUAUAGGAGGUAUAUUAGGGAUAUAUACUUCCUGACCAGAUUUUUUUAAAACUGCAAUAAAAUUAUAAAUUUUUAAAACAAGGUCUAGUACUGCUACGGAUUACUGUGAAUCCAAAGUGAAGAAUCAGCUUUCCAUUUUCCAAAGAGGUCAAUAAGCAUGAGUCCUGCUACUGGGCCUUCUGACCAACCUGAGAUAGCACUAGUGAUAUGGAGUUAUUGAGGCCUGUUCUCUCAAGCUCAUAUAACUGUGUUUCUCACUCCUUUACUGCUGACUCCUUUACACAAUCCAUUCAUUUAUUCCUUUUUUUUUUCAUUCAUUUAUUCCUAACAAGGAUGCUGUAAAGAGCACUCACAAUGCCCACAUGCCCUGUACUGAAAGGGCCUACAACAGAACUCAUUUUGUUUUUUAUUUUAUUUUAUUUUGUUUUAGUUGGUUUAAAUAUUAGGAAUAAUGGUACUUUCUCUAAACAGUUUGUUUCCAUUUGAUCUGAUGAACUAUGUGAAUCCUCAAAAUCAGUGAAUCUUACAGUGGAAAUAACUUCCUUAGAAAGUGUACCAGAAUUAUGUGUCUUCAAACUUCUCCACUUACUGAUAUAUCUUAACUCUUUCUCAAGCCCAUCCUGGCCCCUUUGAGAAUCUCUUUAGGUAAAGAGGGUGUUUAUAAAUGUAGUGUGGAGUGCUUAUGAAUGAUGUGCAGGAAGAUAAAAGGAUGAAUCCCUGCUCUUUGGCACUCACGUUUUCAUCUUCAAGUUUGUGGAUAGAAUUUACAGCUAAAUUACUAGAGCACUUCAUUGGUAUGAAUUUUGUGGGCCAACCUUAAACUUCUAAUUUUUCCUAAACUUAUUUUCCCUUUGUGCUCUUAUCUUACCUUUAUUUUAACUUAUUUUAAGUUUAUUUUUUGCAGUGCAUACAUCAUUAUAAUCAUCUUUUAUCUCAUAGAACAAAGCAAAACAGAAAUAAUCUAAAAAUAAAGAGUACCUACUCUGGAGUGGGGAGGAUAAACCUGAAGGAACUACAUACUCUUCCUAAUACUAUUUUGAAAAAAAAAAAUGUCUAAGUGAAA